UGGGGAAUAUUGCACAAUGGGCGAAAGCCUGAUCCAGCCAUGCCGCGUGUGUGAAGAAGGUCUUCGGAUUGUAAAGCACUUUAAGUUGGGAGGAAGGGCAGUAAGUUAAUACCUUGCUGUUUUGACGUUACCGACAGAAUAAGCACCGGCUAACUCUGUGCCAG
rnacentral:rRNA from 1 species